AACGAACGCUGGCGGCAUGCCUAACACAUGCAAGUCGAACGAGACCUUCGGGUCUAGUGGCGCACGGGUGCGUAACGCGUGGGAACCUGCCCUUAGGUUCGGAAUAACUCCCCGAAAGGGGUGCUAAUACCGGAUAAUGUCUUCGGACCAAAGAUUUAUCGCCUUUGGAUGGGCCCGCGUUGGAUUAGCUAGUUGGUAGGGUAAAAGCCUACCAAGGCGACGAUCCAUAGCUGGUCUGAGAGGAUGAUCAGCCACACUGGGACUGAGACACGGCCCAGACCCCACGGGGGGGAACAGGGGGGAAAUUUUGAACAGGGGGAGAAAGCCAAACCCACAAGUGCCGGGGGAGGGAUGGGGCCUUGGGGGUUGAAAACCCUUUUUCCCGGGAAUUAUAAUAAGAGACGGGGAAGAAAAGCCCCCGGCACCCCCCGUC
rnacentral:rRNA from 1 species